UUGUGGAGGAGGACGCCGAAGGUGGGGCUAAUGACUGGGGUGAAGUCGUAACAAGGUAGCCGUACCGGAAGGUGCGGCUGGAUCACCUCCUAACAGGGAGACAACAAAAUGUUUAAUAUUAUUAUUUUGUCACCUUAGGUCGAUCGGUAUCUCACAUCCUUAAAUUAAUUAAGGAUUUUAUUUCCUAAGUUUUUCUAGGUCACACCCAUUAUUUUUCCUGGGCCAUUAGCUCAAGUGGUUAGAGCGCACCCCUGAUAAGGGUGAGGUCCCUGGUUCAAGUCCAGGAUGGCCCAUAUCUCUAUGUUGGGGGUAUAGCUCAGUUGGUAGAGCGCCUGCUUUGCAAGCAGGAUGUCAGCGGUUCGAGUCCGCUUACCUCCACUGAUUACCACCUCUUCCAUAAUUUUAAGGAAAUGUUUUGAGUUGUGAUCAAAUUCUGAGCGGAUCUAGCUUCCUAAUGAAAUCAUUAAGAUGCUGGACUCAUUGAAUUAAAUUCAUUGUUUUCAGAGAACCUUGACAACUGCAUAGAUUAUUUUUAAAGACAAUAAGCAUCUUUAAUGAUGCAGAUUUAUUAUUUGUGCGAAUGCAUUAAUAACAAUUCUAUUAAGCUGAUGCUUCAAUUUUGAAGUUAUUGGUCAAGCUACAA
rnacentral:misc_RNA from 1 species